rnacentral:rRNA from 1 species
UGGAGAGUUUGAUCCUGGCUCAGGACGAACGCUGGCGGCGUGCCUAAUACAUGCAAGUCGAGCGCGGGAAGCGAGUGGAUCCCUUCGGGGUGAAGCUCGUGGAACGAGCGGCGGACGGGUGAGUAACACGUGGGCAACCUACCUGUAAGAUCGGAAUAACCCCGGGAAACCGGGGCUAAUGCCGGGUAAUACUUUUCUUCGCAUGAAGGAAAGUUGAAAGAUGGCUUCUUGCUAUCACUUACAGAUGGGCCCGCGGCGCAUUAGCUAGUUGGUGAGGUAACGGCUCACCAAGGCGACGAUGCGUAGCCGACCUGAGAGGGUGAUCGGCCACACUGGGACUGAGACACGGCCCAGACUCCUACGGGAGGCAGCAGUAGGGAAUCUUCCGCAAUGGACGAAAGUCUGACGGAGCAACGCCGCGUGAACGAUGAAGGUCUUCGGAUCGUAAAGUUCUGUUGUUAGGGAAGAACAAGUACCGUGCGAAUAGAGCGGUACCUUGACGGUACCUAACGAGGAAGCCCCGGCUAACUACGUGCCAGCAGCCGCGGUA